CCUACGGGAGGCAGCAGUGGGGAAUAGUGCGCAAUGGGCGAAAGCCUGACGCAGCGACGCCGCGUGAGGGAUGAAGGUCUUCGGAUCGUAAACCUCUGUCAGCAGGGAAGAACGGUCACGGUGCUAAGCAGCAGUGAAUUGACGGUACCGGCAAAGGAAGCACCGGCUAACUCCGGGCCAGCAGCCGCGGUAAGACGGAGGGUGCGAGCGUUCAUCGGAAUUACUGGGCGUAAAGCGCGCGUAGGCGGUAUGUCAAGUCAAGGGUGAAAUCCCCGCGCUCAACGUGGGAACUGCCUUUGAAACUGUCAACCUGGAUUGUGUGAGAGGCUAGUGGAAUUCCCGUUGU
rnacentral:rRNA from 1 species